rnacentral:lncRNA from 1 species
GCUAUCAUGAGCUCUAAAUUUCCUGUCUCAUUAUGAUACUAUUUCCAACUUCCAAGGUUAUCUACUGCUUGGAUCUUUGCAUGAUGAUGGUUAAAAAGUGGAUUUUGGUGGACCUGCUCAAUCUGAUUAAGAAAAGGGUUGGUUUCUGUGUUGCACAGUUGCAGCAUUCAAGUCUUCUCAUUAUCUUCGCUGUCUUCACUAUUUUUUGAUGUCUUUAUAAGCAUGACUUUUAAUCCAUGAACCAACUAUAUUUUAAUUUUCUGUUUUCUGUGCAUUCUUUUUAGUCCAUGUUGUUUAUGAUGCAUAUGACUUGGAAGUAUAGGUGUGGUUUCAUUGCAGUAGUAAGUUCCAGAAAAUAUAUGGAGUUAAUGGUUGCGUUUGGUGUUGGAUUGUUCCGAACAAAUGUGCUUUAACCCCAUCUCAGUGUGUUUGGUAGUGUAUGGUCGUUGGUUUCUAAUGACUUAAAAUUGUUACCGAUUGUUGAUAAGGAUUUAGAUUUGAAUAUUGGCUUGAGGAAUUAUUAUUGCACUCAUAAUUUAAUAGUUUCUGUUUUUAUAUACCAAGCGGGAUAAAACAAAAUAUAUAAUCUUGAUUUGUAAUCAUUCUACUGUGCUUGGGUUAAGGACGUAUCUCUAUGGAUUUAAAGGUGACUUAUCGACUUAUUUUAACUUAUGGAAAAAAUUCAAUUAAGGGGAAUAUAUCUCUAUGGUGAUUCACUUAUUGUGUACUUAUCUCUCUCUGUAUUUAGUCUUCUGGAACUUCUACAACCACUUCUUUUUCCUCUGUCACAUGUUCAGUUUAUUGGUUAAUGUAGUUUUCCUUAUUCCUUUUUCCUCUUCAAAAGAACAUGGAAGUGAUAAUAAAUGCAAUGGUGACAUGAAAUAGACUUGGUCUGCAGUGGUUGAGCUAAGCUUGAUAUUGCAAGAUGUUAGAAUUCUAGGAUUCCAAUUCUUAUGUUUUAACUACUAAAUUUAAGCCUUUGAAAGUUGGCAAGCUAUAGCAAUCAAGAAGAGGUAUUCUUGUGGUAGAGUUAUAUAGCUGACCUCUUAUAUAUUGAACUCUUUUCUCUUCCUCCUUUUGGUUAUUUUCUUUAAAUGAUGAUGUUUCCAUGAAAUUAAGCUCAAUUAUUAAAGACCGCAUUUAGAAUGAUGAGGACAUGAGAGUUUUAGUAUCUAAGCUUUCAUCUCCUAUUUCAUCUCAACUCCUUCAACAGCAUCUGAAUGUAUUUUUUCCUAUCUUUUAUUUUAAUUGUUUUCUGAGCUUAGGAUGGUUAAUUACUUUUCUGUUCUAUUUCAGGGAACUCUUCUCAGACCUUGGUGGAUUUAACUUGUGGUUCUCUUUUCACAAUGAACCUUGUGCAAUUGGUCUCCAAGAAGCACUUGGAUAUUGAAAAGGAAGAAGAUGACAAGAUGUAUCUAUUAUGGAGAAUGGGAGCACGAGUCUGUUUGGCUUAUGUACGGAGGGAAGAUGUAUUGCGGUGUGGUGGCACUGGAAUGUCGAUGAUGGAGAAAGUGAGCCAUUUUUAUCCCUUCUUUGUAAGUAGUGUAAACAUGAAACCAAAUCUAGGGAAAAGAGUAGCAUAUCAUUUGUUGAUGACCUUUGAUUGGUGGUCUUAGCUAACAUGGAAUUUAAUUUAGAACUUUAUUUGUGGGCUUCUAUUACCCAUCUACUGUGUAUGUGAGUGUGAAAUAGAAGGCAUAAGAGCAUGCCAUGGACAUCCAAGCUGGUUUGUUUCUUGGGGGGCUUUUUCAAAUUGCACAUUGCACAAUUACUCAACAUAAAUAUUAUAGCAUAUUACUGUUAAGGGGUCUUAUAAAUGGGGACGGAGGGAGAACUUUGUAGAGAAAAUCAACUUAUCAUUUUCAUUCUUAUUAAGAGUAUAUUCUCUGUUUCAUAUGCUUCAUAUGAUGAAUAUUUAUCACUGAUCUCUAUUUUUUUCUUUCAAUAGGGGGAUACCAGCAGAGGUUGCACCAUUUGUUCGUAAGCAUGGGAAAGCUCCAUGGACCUUAAUGGGCACAUAUGGAAAAAAGACUCUCAGAUACUUGCACCUGAAAAACCCAAGAAAGUAGCAAAGUUUGGAUCUGGCUGCAAACAAUUCUGCAGAGAACUAAUUAAAGCAACUCAUUACUUGUGGUUCAGGUUCACAGG